UACGGAGGGUGCAAGCGUUGUCCGGAAUCACUGGGCGUAAAGGGCGCGUAGGCGGCUCAUGAAGGCUGUGGUGAAAGUCCGGGGCUCAACCUCGGAUCGGCCGUGGCGACUCGUGGGCUGGAGCACUGUAGAGGCGGGUGGAAUUCCGGGUGUAGCGGUGGAAUGCGUAGAGAUCCGGAAGAACACCGGUGGCGAAGGCGGUCUGCUGGGCAGUUGCUGACACUGAGGCGCGACAGCGUGGGGAGCAAACAGG
rnacentral:rRNA from 1 species